UGAGGUAACGGCUCACCAAGGCCACGAUGCAUAGCCGACCUGAGAGGGUGAUCGGCCACAUUGGGACUGAGACACGGCUCAAACUCAUACGGGAGGCAGCAGUAGGGAAUCUUCGGCAAUGGACGAAAGUGUGACCGAGCAACGCCGCGUGAGUGAAGAAGGUUUUCGGAUCGUAAAACUCUGUUGUUAGAGAAGAACAAGGAUGAGAGUAACUGUUCAUCCCUUGACGGUAUCUAACCAGAAAGCCACGGCUAAAUACGUGCCAGCAGCCGCGGUAAUAAGUAGGUGGCAAGCGUUGUCCGGAUUUAUUGGGCGUAAAGCGAGCGCAGGCGGUUUCUUAAGUCUGAUGUGAAAGCCCCCGGCUCAACCGGGGAGGGUCAUUGGAAACUGGGAGACUUGAGUGCAGAAGAGGAGAGUGGAAUUCCAUGUGUAGCGGUGAAAUGCGUAGAUAUAUGGAGGAACACCAGUGGCGAAGGCGGCUCUCUGGUCUGUAACUGACGCUGAGGCUCGAAAGCGUGGGGAGCAAACAGGAUUAGAUACCCUGGUAGUCCACGCCGUAAACGAUGAGUGCUAAGUGUUGGAGGGUUUCCGCCCUUCAGUGCUGCAGCUAACGCAUUAAGCAUUCCGCCCGGGG
rnacentral:rRNA from 2 species